GCCCUGCCCAGAGAGGAGGAACCUAGAGGGGCAGUCUGGCUACGGUGGCUUUGUGGAGCUGUGGUGGAGCUGUGGUGGGCUCCGCCAAGUUCAAACUUCCUGGCUGCUUUGUUUACACUGUGAGGGGAAAACCACCUACUCAAGCCUCAGUAAUGGUGAAUGUCCCUCUCUCCCCACCAAGCUCGAGUGUCCCAGGUCGACUUCAGAUUGCUGUGCUGGCAACAAGAAUUUCAAGCCAGUGGAUCUUAGCUUGCUGUGCUCUGUGGGGGUAGGAUCUGCUGAGCUAGACCACUUGGUUUUCUGGCUUCAUCCCCCUUUCCAGGGGAGUAAACGGUUGUUUCUCGCUGUCAUUCCAGGUGCCACUGGAGUAUAAAAAAACUCCUGUAGCUAGCUCGGUUUCUGCCCAAAUGGUCUGCCAGUUUUGUACUUGAAACCCAGGGCCCUGGUGGCAUAGGCACCCAAGGGAAUCUCCUGGUCUGCCCACAGCUGGUUGGAUUGUGCCCCGUGCUUGUUGAAGGUGGAUCUUCCUCACUCAGUCCAUUGACUGACAGAUGGAGUCUUGCUUUGUCACCCAGGCUGGAAUGCAGUGGUGCGAUCUCAGCUCACUGCAAGCUCCACCUCCCGGGUUCUCGCCAUUCUUCUGCCUCAGCCUCUUGAGUAGCUGGGACUACAGGCAC
rnacentral:lncRNA from 1 species